rnacentral:rRNA from 1 species
GGGGGGGGGGGGGGGGGGGGGGGGGAGGGGGGGGGGGGGGGGUGGAAGGAGCGUGGGGGUGUGGGGGCGGCGCGCGUGGGCGUAACGGGUAUGGGGUCUACCUUGGACCGGGGAAUAGACCAGGGUAAGUUGGAUUAAUGCGCCAGAGUAUAUAACCUUCGGCUUGUGGGUUGAUUAAAUGUACACCUGUACCAUAUGAGCAUGCGUCCCAUUAGUUCGUUGGUAAGGUAACGACUUACCAAAACGAUGAUGGGUAGGGGUCCUGAGAGGGAGAUCCCCCACACGGGUACUGAGACACGGACCAGACUCCUACGGGAGGCAGCAGUGAGGAAUAUUGGUCAAUGGUCGCAAGACUGAACCAGCCAUGCCGCGUGCAGGAAGACGGUCCUAUGGAUUGUAAACUGCUUUUAUACAGGAAGAAACCCUCCCACGUGUGGGAGCUUGACGGUACUGUAGGAAUAAGGAUCGGCUAACUCCGUG